GUGCCGCCGCCGCGGUCAUACGGCGGGUGCAAGCGUUGUCCGGUAUCCCUGGGCGUAAAGGGUGCGCAGGCGGGGCCGCAAGUCGGAGGUGAAAUCCCACGGCUCAACCGUGGAAGUGCCUUCGAAACUGCUGCUCUUGAGUCCCGGAGAGGCUGCCGGAAUUCGUGGUGUAGCGGUGAAAUGCGUAGAUAUCACGAGGAACACCAGAGGCGAAAGCGGGCAGCUGGACGGGUACUGACGCUCAGGCACGAAAGCGUGGGGAGCAAACAGGAUUAGAAACCCGUGUAGUCC
rnacentral:rRNA from 1 species